AAUGACGGCCUUACCACCGUGGACACGCCCGAUCUCGUCUGAUCUCGGAAGCUAAGCAUGGUGCUGUAAGUGGUGUCGGGUGGUGGCCAAUAGGUGGCACUC
rnacentral:rRNA from 10 species